rnacentral:sRNA from 1 species
UGAACUUGAGGAGAGCAGAAGACACUGUCUCCAGGCUGAAGUGCUAACAGGCAGCCAUAUCUACGACCAGCAUCAACGCCGUGGUGGUUAAGUGGGAACUGAUCUGUGAUGUUCCUGUUUCGGGACCCAGCAGACCUGGCUUCCUUUCUUCGGCAUCCCAGGGCCUGUGGCUGCUACCUGAGAGCCCGUCCGGCUGUGGUGGUCCCCCUUCCAAGCUGUUCCGAGCUUUCUUGAUUUGGAUCCUGGUAUGUCUCAAUCUACUGACUUUCUACGCAGGCUGGGUGUGCACAUGGAGUGCGUUUGUCUCAGCCUACCUCUCAGGUUGCUAUGGUCUAAGAUAGUGUCUCUACAAAAUGUGUUAGAACUUAACCCCUAGAGAGACAGUGUGAAGAGAGGUGAGCAGGUCGGGAGGGGGACUCUUUCACACGAGGUGAAGAUAGUGCAGAGGAGCUGCUGAUCUUCCACCACAGCAGCAAAACGGCAUCUGCGACGUGGGGAUUCAGCUCUCAGCAACUCCAGUGCUGGCCGGCCUUGAUCUUGGAGCCCCAGACUCCAGAAUUGUGUGGUGGCUGUCCUCUUUGCUGAAAGCACCAGGCACCAGGCUAGCCGAGACCCUGCCCCAGCGCUCACUAAUGUCCAAAAGUGGUCCAGAUCUUCUGAAACCCACCUUGAAGAAGCCGCUGCUGACUCCGUUGUCAUAAGUAUAUGCUUUUAUAUUUUCAUUCAGAAGCUUCUCAGCUUUAUGUUUGGAGACUGUCACACUCUAUCUUGAAAUAUUCUGGAUUGACGACACUGUUUCCCAUGCUGUUUGUUGAAAAGGCUUUGCUGUCCCCCCGAACUGCCUCAGUGACUUUAUUGGGCACCAAGAGAUGAGAUUUCAUCAUUAGCUUUCUGCGGGGUCUGCUUUUGUUUGCUAAUCUGUCAGUUGUGUGGUUCUUCCCAGCUCUGUACGUGCCUCACUAUUUUUUAAUGUGGUGGGCAGUGUGGACAUCACGAGAGGCUCCAGUCGAGGCUGUCUUCCUGCAGAGAGUCAAGGUAUAAUCUCAUUGGAUUCCCUCAAUUCUUUAUUUGGGAGCUCUCCUUUGCCCUUGAAAAUGGUCUUGGGGAAAAGUUCUCCGCAGGCAUAUUUCUGGGGCCAUGCCUGGUGUAAGACCUCUCCACUGGACCUGGCCAGACAGACAGUGGACAGCCGAGCAGCCUGCCUCCUCUGGAAUAGCUAGGCCUCUAACAGCACACUUUUCCUCGGCCCAGAUACUUCUGCAGGUCCCUGCAUAGCGCAUAGCUCAGACCUCAAACAAAGACCUACAGCAAGGAUGCUUACAGACUUCCAGACCUUUUCUCUACAACCCAGAUUGAAAUUGUCAGCCAACGUGAUAGGACGAGACACUGGGUGUUCCCACCCCAGCCUGUCUUGAACACCCCUGUCUUAGGCCUCACCGUUCAAAACAGUGGCACAAAAAUGCCUCCGUGCCGAUCACCUCAGGGGCUUCCUCCUCUCAGAACCACAGCUGUUGCCUUGUCUAGCACCUGGGACCAUUUAUCUCAGCCCUCUACCCCACGUCCCGGAAGUCAAGCCAGUACCCAUUAUUCUUUUGUGGUUGGAAGAGACAGGAUGCCUGUGGCUUGUCUGGGCUCCGCCUGCAAGCUCUCUGACUGGCUCUCAAAUAACCUCCUCUCACCCUAAAUCAAGAAAGGAUCUGUGUGAGGCUGGAGAAAAGCUCAGUGUUAGGAGCACUGGUCCUCUUCCUGAGAAUUCCAGGUUCAAUUCCCAGCACCCACAUGAAGGCUCACAAUCAUCUGUAACUCCAGUUCUGAGGGAUCUGAUAUGAUCUCCUGGUCUCCAUACGCGUGGUACAUAGACACAGAAGAUAAUAAAAAAUAAUUUUUAAAUAAAAGAUAGAAAGGGCUUGCGGAGGUCUUAAAACACUCCGGGUCUCUGAUAGUCGGUCAAUUUUAUUUGCCUGGUAAUAUUCAAUUUGGACGCGCAUCACCACACAGAGCAAAGCCGUGAGGCUGGAGAGAUGGCCCAGCAGUUCAGAGCACUGGCUGCUCCUGUGGAGGAGUUCAUGCACCCAUGUAGCAGCUCACAACUAUCUGAUCUGCAACUACAGCUCCCGAGGAUCUAACACCUUCUCCCGGUCUCCAUGGAUACCAGGCACAUGUGGUACUCAUCCACACAAGCAAAGCACUCAUACAUAUACAACAAAUAAAUAUUAGAACAAACUUCCUUCUUCUUUGGAAAGAUGCUUCCUCACCUGACCUUGGUCACUUCCCACAAUUUGCCUUGUUUAGACCAUUAUGUACUGUGCCCCAUCCAACAGAGGAAAAGGAUUCAAUGCCCUCUUCCUCGUGGACCCGUACCAACUUGUAAGCAUGCAGAAUUUAUUGAGUCAAUGGUUCCACUGAGGAGCCAGUGUCGGGAACCUAAAACACCAACUCCUUUACAGGCAAAUGCUCGGUGUCCAAAAUGUAAUUCCUAACUGCCCUGGCCGGCAGCUUCCUGGGAUUGGGGUAACCUUGGGUCCUUUGCCUACCAUCUCUCAGCAGAGCUCUUCAGCAGUUACUCCGUUAGGAUCUGACAUCAGGUUAUGUCCUGGCUGCUUGGGAAAUGCUUGGCUUCUAAUUCCCACAGUUCGUUCAUUAAAACCAGGUCCUCACGGGCACAGGCAGGUGCCUCAGUGGGCCUUCCCCUGAGCGUCCAUUCAGCAUUCCCCCUGCUGCACGUAAUACGAACAACUCAAGUCAGCCACUAGGAGCUCAAGCUGUAUUUUUGGCACUUUAAAGGGCCGGAGUGGGAAGAUGGCUGUGUGUUUGAGGCUAACCUGGGCUACAUAGUGAGGAAGAUGGCUGUAUGUUUGAGGCUAACCUGGGCUACAUAGUGAGUCCCAGGCAAAGACUGGGCUAAAGACUGAGAGCCUGCCACAAACCAAACCAAAUGAAUCACUUGGGCAUCUCUGCAGCGACCUGGCUGAAGGUGCUCACCUGAAGGGAGCCCAGGACUGGCCUGAGGUGCUCACCCAUUGCAGAAUGCUAUGUGCUACACUCCUGUCUUCUGACAGAGUCCUUGAAACACGUGUCUGAGACUCAGCUGCAGUCUGCAGGAGGGCGGAUGUAUAGAUUUAUACCGCGGCUUGGUAUGCCCACAGCCAUGCCCAACUGUGUUAUUAGAAGUCCCUGGGACUUGGCUACUCAUGCUAGACCUGUCCACGCUGGGUUGCUCUGGCCCUUGGUGAAAUGAACCUGCUCCUGGAGAGGCUGGCCUUGUCAUUGCUCAAGUCCCUCUUGGACAUGCAUGUGUGGCACAUGCCCUGGAGCUGCCACACGAAGGAGUGAUAAUGACCUCGGAAAGAGCCGUGCUCUGCAGGUCUCUGUGGGUCACCAGCUAAGUAGUUCCUGCCGUCUCUUCCCUCUGAUACCCCAUGGGGCAUCCACCUAGCAGCCCACACCAGCCUUCUCCUUCUGGGCCUCUCCCCCAAGGCUGUCUGCUUACAGCUUUGGGCUAGCAUUCUGUCAACACCCUUACCUCCACCUCAACCACCCGUGUCCUUACUCACCUGGAUGGGAGCCUGGCGGCACCGUGUCCUUACUUCCCCAGGAUAUGAAUGUGUGGAGUUACCAAGGCUGUUGCCUCCACCCCUUAACCUGCUAACCCGGACCAGGGGAGCCUCAGGUGGAGCGGCAGUAAGCAACCUUUCGGACAUAGUACUCAGCUUCCUAGUCUAGAAGACCUCAGGCGGUGUUUGUUGAAUGAAUUGGUGAGUGAAUGAAAGGGUAGGUAAGAGGUGGCGGGAGCAACUCUAAUGCGACCACUUUAAGAAGAGCCCUGGGACAGAGCAUGUGCGACCCACCGCAGCAGGAGAUGCAGCACUGUGACUCAGCUCAGACCAAGGAGCCCGUCUAAGGGAGCAGAGAGAACUAAAUGGGAGCAACAGACGGCAGGAGCCCAGAGCCGAGGUGAUCAUCGGAGAGAUGGGGGUCCUGCACACAAUCCCGACUUCAUGCUUAGGAACGAGAUGCAGCCGUGUAAACGGCAAAAGCCAAGUGGAACACACCAGCCGGCUUGCUUUGAUCAAAUAUGUACAGACAUUUAAACCACGAGGAGGUAAGUAAAUGUCGCCAAAUGUCAAGGAACGAGAUGCCGAGACCUGGAUUAGAGGGGACACGAACAGUGUCCCUGCUGGGGCUGAUCCUGUCAGGACACGUGUUCUGACACUAAGUGACGCCACCUUUGAUCUUCCCACUGUCAGCCCUGAUGGAAGUCGGAGCUCAGAGGUCUGUCUACUGAGCAUGGAGUUGAGCAGGCUGUUAGCUCUCCCCGGGUGAGCUGAAUACCUGGAACCUAGAAAAUGGCCUCGGAGGUUUCAUCCACGGUUCUUGGGUCUAAUGAUCCUGAUACAGUAAGGUGGGGCAUCAGGACUGCAGGACCGUGUGGUGGAGACCGCUCGCCUCACAGCACAUAGGAGGCAGAGAAGACAAGACACUCUCAAAAGCCAUGCCCUCUGUGGCCUACUUCCUCAAGGUCUCGCCUCCCAAAGACUCCGGAACCUUUCAAAAUCGCCUUCCAAGCUCCAGGAAUGCUUUAAGGCAAACCUUAGAACCAGGUUAAGAAACACCAGAGGACAGGCAGGCAAGAGAAGAGCAAAGCCUACUUCUCACCCAACAGACAUUAAACUCCGUCACUGAGCCUACCUUUAAAGACCAAGGGCAGGCCAUCCAGUUUCAACCGGAGUUUUAGAGGGGUAAUCGCUAAGCCACAGCAGUAGCUCAUAAUUGUAAACAUUGAUUACCGCGGGGUAGGGAAUGCACUCUCUAAGUUGUGGGCAACCUUCCUUCCUCAACAAGUAUCCUAGCCCUGGCUGUCCUGGAACUCGCCAUGUAGACCAGGCUAGCCUGGAACUCAAGAGAUCAGACUGCUUCUGCCUCCCUAACACUGGGAUUAAAGGUGUGCGCCACCACCCCUGGCUGUAUCAUCUCACUAUUAAAUCUUGCUCUCCGAACAUGAGAUUUUUGGCUAGGUCUUCUUUGGUGCCUUUCAAUGAUAUAAUUUUAUAAUUAUAUGUAUGUCUCACGCUUUGAAAACACUUAAGCACUUUAUUCUUUCUGGCAAUAAAUGGAAUUGUUUUCUUUUUUAAGAAUUUUAUUUUGUGUGUAUGAUACUUUGUCUACAUGUGUGUCUGUGCACCACAUGUCUGUGCAGUGCCCAUGAAGGCCAGAGGAGGCUGCUGAGUCAUCUGGGACUGGGGUGACUGGUGGUUGUGAGCCACAGUGUGGGUGUUGGGAAUCUAACCCAGGUCCUCUGAAAGAGCACCCAGUGAGGGAAGCACUGGGCUGCCCCUCCUGCCCCUAAGCUGUCUCCUUGGUCUCCUGUCUUGUGUCGCUCAUCGCCGAUGUACUGAGAACGGCUGGUUCUCAGGCCUGGGUGCGGCUCAGCCGGCAGACGGAUGCUGACCUCACAAGCAGGAAGCCUGGGGGGCAAUUCCAUAAACCGGGCAUGGUCCAUACAUGCAAUCCCGGCACUAUAGAGAGUUGGAAGCACAUCAGAAGUUCAGGGCCAUGCCCUGCUGCACCAGGAACUUUAAGACCAGCCUGAGAGACCCGAGACCCUGUCUCCAAGAGUC